GAUGAACGCUGGCGGCGUGCCUAAUACAUGCAAGUCGAGCGAACAGAUGAGGAGCUUGCUCCUCUGACGUUAGCGGCGGACGGGUGAGUAACACGUGGAUAACCUACCUAUAAGACUGGGAUAACUUCGGGAAACCGGAGCUAAUACCGGAUAAUAUAUUGAACCGCAUGGUUCAAUAGUGAAAGACGGUUUUGCUGUCACUUAUAGAUGUAUCCGCGCCGCAUUAGCUAGUUGGUAAGGUAACGGCUUACCAAGGCAACGAUGCGUAGCCGACCUGAGAGGGUGAUCGGCCACACGGGAACUGAGACACGGUCCAGACUCCUACGGGAGGCAGCAGUAGGGAAUCUUCCGCAAUGGGCGAAAGCCUGACGGAGCAACGCCGCGUGAGUGAUGAAGGUCUUCGGAUCUUAAAACUCUGUUAUUAGGGAAGAACAAAUGUGUAAGUAACUAUGCACGUCUUGACGGUACCUAAUCAGAAAGCCACGGCUAACUACGUG
rnacentral:rRNA from 1 species